rnacentral:rRNA from 1 species
GGGAUUAACGCUGGCGGCGUGCCUGACACAUGCAAGUCGAACGAGGCCGCAAGGCCGAGUGGCGGACGGGUGAGUAACACGUGACCAACCAACCUCGAAGUUGGGAAUAGCUCUGCGAAAGUAGGGGUAAUACCGAAUGUGGCCCAGGGCGGGCAUCCGCCUUGGUCUAAAGAUUCAUCGCUUCGAGACGGGGUCGCGGCCUAUUAGCUUGUUGGUGAGGUAACGGCUCACCAAGGCGAUGAUGGGUAGCUGGUCUGAGAGGACGACCAGCCACACUGGGACUGAGACACGGCCCAGACUCCUACGGGAGGCAGCAGUGAGGAAUCUUCCGCAAUGGGCGAAAGCCUGACGGAGCAACGCCGCGUGUGGGAUGAAGACUCUAGGGUUGUAAACCACUGUCGGAGGGGACGAUCGUGACGGUACCCUCCAAGAAAGCCCCGGCUAACUACGUGCCAGCAGCCGC